UUUCAAGUCUUCUCACACAGAACUUAAAAUUGACUGAGCAACACAAUACUACAGUUCAUCGUGCUAUCGGCUUCGUAUUUUAAAGGUUUGUUUGCGGACUCUGGUCUUCCCGAUCUCACAAUGUCGGAAAGAAACGAGUCAAAGAAAAAAUCUUUUGAUGAAUCAAGAGCUGAAUGUAGUUCUACAACGAGGACCAAAAGGUUUGAUGCAGAUCUGGAUCAUAUGAACCUCUCCCCCAUGAUACGCCACCUUGUGGAGAACAUGACAGAAGAGCAUUGGAGAAUUGUCCGUGAGGCUCUAUGUGUGCCUAGGACCAAAGAAGAAGUUGGCCAUCUUUGUGCUAUCAUAGUGAAGAAAGUAGUCCAGACUGCUCAUUAUUACCUGCUCCCAGUCCUCAGUGAAAUUCUGGGUGUUCCUGCCGCAUACGUAUGUGGAAUGACAAGAUCAGGGCAACACACAUUUUGGGUAAGCACCUCAGAGGCCAAGAGACCUGAAGGAUCAUCUAUACGCCAAGGAUCUCAGGGGAUAACAAAUGAAAUGCUCUUGGCAGCAGCCAAGAAAGAAGUCGAUGAGAUUUUUCGAGAAUCUGUCAGAAUAGUCAGUGGUUUGGAUCCAGUUGUGCCUGCCUUACCAGAGAGAUAUUCUUCCAUCUCCGAAAAGAAUGUGGAUUUGACAGCCUCAUGCACCAUUAAGGACUUUGACUCUGGUCCUACUACAGCACCCAUGAUGGCUGAGGACGCUAAAGCCUCAGGACUAUCACAAUCCAUCCCCUUGCUCAAUCAGUUUACCGACACUGAAUUUCAACAAAGGGCAUCAAAGCAAGUGAGUGAGGUUUUGCUCAAAACUCUUGAAAAUGAAUCCCCAAUUGAGGAAUUUGCUGAAGAUGACGAGGAAUCAAACUCCAAAGCAGAAAGUCAAACAGACCUCUGUAGGGUUCAUGCUAUCUUUCCAUCUGGUCCCCUGUCAGAGUCUCUUGCAGUUGAUCUAGUUGAUGAUAUUAUUGAAUCCAUGAAGGACAAAGUCUCCUGCCAAGAGGUUUAUUCAACAUCAUAUGAUGUUGUUGGAUGUGUUAUUGAAGGGAUGAAAGAUCUUUUGGAGAAAACACAAGCCCUAGGAACUGUUGUUCCAAUGAAAAGGAUCUACAGGACAACAUGUCAAAUAAUGUUCAAUGCAAUUCAGAACAUGGUGGGGAAAUUGUUUUGCAAAUCUUUUCACUCUGACAGUAAAAAGAAAAUGACAGUGGCUUCUGCCAUCAAUGUCACUAGCAAAGCAAUUGUGUCCAU
ensembl:lncRNA